UACAGAGGGUGCGAGCGUUAAUCGGAAUUACUGGGCGUAAAGCGUGCGUAGACGGCUAUCUAAGUCGGGUGUGAAAGCCCCGGGCUCAACCUGGGAAUUGCAUUCGAGACUGAAUAGCUAGGGUACGGUAGAGGGAAGCGGAAUUUCCGGUGUAGCGGUGAAAUGCGUAGAUAUCGGAAGGAACAUCAGUGGCGAAAGCGGCUUCCUGGACCAGUACCGACGUCAGGCACGAAAGCGUGGGGAGCAA
rnacentral:rRNA from 1 species